GCCAGGCGUGGUGGCUCAUGCCAGUAAUCCCGGCACUUUGGGAUGCUGAAGUGGGAGCACUGCUUGAACUCAGGAGUUCAAGACCAACCUUAGCAGCAUAGUGAGACCCCCAUCUCGACAAAAUUUUUUUUUUUUUUUUUUUUUUUUUUUUUCAAAAAAAAAAAAAAAAAAAAAAAAAAAAAUUUUGUCGAGAUGGGGGUCUCACUAUGCUGCUAAGGUUGGUCUUGAACUCCUGAGUUCAAGCAGUGCUCCCACUUCAG
rnacentral:SRP_RNA from 1 species